rnacentral:rRNA from 1 species
AACGAACGCUGGCGGCAUGCCUAACACAUGCAAGUCGAACGAGACCUUCGGGUCUAGUGGCGCACGGGUGCGUAACGCGUGGGAACCUGCCCUUAGGUUCGGAAUAACUCCCCGAAAGGGGUGCUAAUACCGGAUAAUGUCUUCGGACCAAAGAUUUAUCGCCUUUGGAUGGGCCCGGGUUGGAUUAGCUAGUUGGUAGGGUAAAAGCAUACCAAGGCGACGAUCCAUAGCUGGUCUGAGAGGAUGAUCAGCCACACUGGGACUGAGACACGGCCCAGUCUCCUACGGGAGGCAGCAGUGGGGAAUAUUGGACAAUGGGCGAAAGUCUGAUCCAGCAAUGCCGCGUGAGUGAUGAAGGCCUUAGGGUUGUAAAGCUCUUUUACCCGGGAUGAUAAUGACAGUACCGGGAGAAUAAGCUCCGGCUAACUCCGUG